AGCUGUGAAUACCCCGAGGGAAGAGACUAUGACUUGCUCAAGCUCAUCUUUGUGAACAGCCCAUGGCUCUUUGAAGGUGAAAUCCAUAUAUGCAACAUCUUUGUAUUCCCCACAACAAAAGGCAGAGCUCUUCACAGAUACAGAUAUCUUUAUCUGCACCCACUCUUGCUUUUCCUUCCAUCUUAGAAGCAGUUCCUUUCACUGCUUCAAGUAAAAUACUUUCCUCUUGUGCUUUUGAUCUACAAUAGACUUCAGAGGAAGGGUGGGGUCAAGGAAGGCUUCCCUGAAGAGGCAACAUCUAAGCUCUGUCCUGAAGGAUGAGUAGGAACUAGCCAGGCAGAGUAAGAAUACUCCUGGCAGACGGAAUCAUAUGUGUAAAAACCUGAGGAGAACAGAAGCUUGCCGUGAAUCUGAUUAAGUCUCUAGAUCUAGACCCAGCUACCAAAUAUACAAGAAAUAGAGAAGAACAUGUUAAAAGACAGAAGAGAAAUGCAAUCACCAAAAUUCAGACUGUGGGAAACUCUAUAGGACAAAUGACUCAGUUUCUUCAAUAAGUAAAUUGUAUGGAGAAAAAAGGAAUAAAAGGGUGACAUUCUAUCUAUGGAUUGAAGGAGACAACAUAGCAACCAACUACAAU
ensembl:lncRNA novel transcript, antisense to KIAA1468